AAUUAAACUUCUUUAUUGCGUUUUCAUUUGUUUCAUUUCAUGAGAUGAAGCUAGCUAGUGGUCAUCUCAUCUCCGGCCCAUCUCUCUGCAGGCUGUUGGACAUGGAAUGGAGCCUAGCUUUCUUGCCGAGGCGAUGAAGGCCACCAGAGAGUUCUUCAACCUCNNNNNNNNNNNNNNNGUAAUUAAACUUCUUUUCCCAUUUUCAUUUCGGUUGUGUGAUGAAGUGGUCAUCUCGAUCUCAUCUCCGGCCGAUCUUUCUCCAGGCUGUUGGACAUGGAAUGGAGCCUAGCUUUCUUGCCGAGGCGAUGAAGGCCACCAGAGAGUUUUUCAACCUCCCAAUAGAAGAGAAACAAAAGUACUCGAACAUUGUCG
rnacentral:lncRNA from 1 species